CCUACGGGUGGCUGCAGUGGGGAAUCUUGCACAAUGGGGGAAACCCUGAUGCAGCGACGCCGCGUGAGCGAUGAAGCCCCUCGGGGUGUAAAGCUCUUUCGGCAGGAACGAUAAUGACGGUACCUGCAGAAGAAGCUGCGGCUAACUACGUGCCAGCAGCCGCGGUAAUACGUAGGCAGCGAGCGUUGUUCGGAGUUACUGGGCGUAAAGAGUGUGUAGGCGGUUUGCCAAGUUCGGUGUGAAAUCUCCCGGCUUAACUGGGAGGGUGCGCCGAAUACUGGCAGGCUAGAGUGCGGGAGAGGAGAGCGGAAUUCCUGGUGUAGCGGUGAAAUGCGUAGAUAUCAGGAGGAACACCUGCGGUGUAGACGGCUCUCUGGACCGUUUCUGACGCUGAGACACGAAAGCGUGGGUAGCAAACAGGAUUAGAUACCCCAGUAGUC
rnacentral:rRNA from 1 species